GACGAACCGUGCAAACGUUGUUCGGAAUCACUGGGCUUAAAGGGCGCGUAGGCGGCUUGCCAAGUCAGGGGUGAAAUCUUUCGGCUUAACCGGAAAAGUGCCUCUGAUACUGGCGAGCUAAAGGGAGGUAGGGGCAUGUGGAACUUCCGGUGGAGCGGUGAAAUGCGUUGAUAUCGGAAGGAACGCCGGUGGCGAAAGCGACGUGCUGGAUCUCUUCUGACGCUGAGGCGCGAAAGCUAGGGGAGCGAACGGG
rnacentral:rRNA from 1 species